rnacentral:rRNA from 1 species
CGUGUGCCUUGGAGUCUCAGAGAGUUUGAUUAUGGCUCAGGAUGAACGCUAGCUACAGGCUUAACACAUGCAAGUCGAGCGGAACACCUUCGGGUGUUCAGCGGCAGACGGGUGAGUAACACGUAUCCAACCUUUCCCUUACUCGGGCAUAGCCUCUGGAAACGGAGAGUAAUUCCCGAUGAAGUGUACGAGGAGCAUUUUUUGCACACCAAAGAUUCAUCGGUAAGGGGUGGGGAUGCGUUCCAUUAGGUAGUAGGCGGGGCAACGGCCCACCUAGCCGAUGAUGGAUAGGGGUUCUGAGAGGAAGGUCCCCCACAUUGGAACUGCGACACGGUCCAAACUCCUACGGGAGGCAGCAGUGAGGAAUAUUGGUCAAUGGGCGAGAGCCUGAACCAGCCAAGUAGCGUGCAGGGAAUGACGGCCCUACGGGUUGUAAACUGCUUUUGUGCGGGAAUAACGGUCAUUACGUGUAAUGAUGUGCAUGUACCGUACGAAUAAGGAUCGGCUAACUCCGUGCCAGCAGCCGC